GCCUUCCUACUCCAAUCGGUAGAGAGAAUGCGCUUAGGACGCAUAAAGUGUGGGUUCGAGUCCCACGGAAGGCA
rnacentral:tRNA from 1 species